GCUUGGUCUCCCACGCGAAAACAAGGGCGAUUUAAACGUGAUGCCGCUGCUCCGGCGCAAUGUGCCAUGCCGGGACCACGCUGUAAACUCAUAGGAAAAGCUUGUGCUGUGGUAAUAUGUAGAAACUGUGAUGGAGACAUCAGGCUGGGGAACUCGUCGGUGUUUCAAGUGCACGCUCCACUGUUGCAUCGAGGAUUCCCGUGCGUGAGGCCGUUUUCCACGCGUCGGAUUCCGCAAGGGGAGAAAAACAAGCUAACCCGACAGUGCUGGUUACUGAACCUACAGAGGGACAACUUUGAUCCGGGCACAUCAACAAGGUAUGCCACUUUGUUAAUGGGCAGCCAAGCAAUGAGAAAUCCUUACCCAAUGCUUCAUCUUGGAACAUAAAAUGUCCCUUGCAAGGAAAGAAGACAAGUCAUGCGGCAUCAUACCACCCAAUCUCAGCUGUGGCCCGGUGGUCUUUCAACUGACAACAGCCCACAGCACUCCACGGCUCAUGAGCCUAAUGAAGUCUUUUCUGUAGAACUUUCUGGCGAUGACACCAAUGACAGCCUCCCGGCCAGAAAUCGCCUCAGACCUGGCAAUGUCAUUUACGAGCAGGCCUUCAGGGUCUACAAAAGCGCCUUGGUUCCAACAAAGUGUUUAUCCUGUGACUGCAGUUGUAAAGGCAUCAGAAAAAUGGACAAAGUUGUGCCAGCUCAGCCAGAGGAGGACUACAACACGUACCAUGCCAACGUACAGGUUCUUGUAAAGCAGGAAAUUUUUCAGCAACUGGGGGUCAGUCAAACUGAUUUAACGGUUUAAUCUAGUCUUGCACCAGACGAUUGCUGAUUCUUUGCUGCUUUGUCAAAAAAAUGCAUUUGAUGCGCUGUCAAGCACUUUCGUCGGAGGGUGUAUAGUCUCCAUUUUCUGUGGCAUCCAAAUUGCUGCUAAUGAUGAUGCAAUUUAGGUUGCGGCUUUUUCCCUUGGACCUUGAUAAUCUAAACAUGUGCAGUGAGCAGAAUUUACUGCUUCGUUGUGUUACAAUUGGCAAAA